GGUGGUUCUUGGGUGACACACCCCAGAACCAGAGAGGAGGGAGCCUGAUUCUGGGGUAUGUCACCUGAGAACCACC
rfam:Myotis lucifugus cont2.21855, whole genome shotgun sequence.